rnacentral:lncRNA from 1 species
UAGUACAUAAAAAAAAGUAAUAACACGAACUGCCCUACUCCAUUGGAAACCUUAGCCUCCAAAUAUCACCAAAAGAAAAUAUGCAUCAAAUCACAAUUAAAUUAGAGGCAAACUUGUAGAGUCGAAAAAAUAGGGACACUCAAAACAAUAAAAAAAACUUGAUUAAACGAAAAAACUAAAAUAUUUAAAUUGAAAAGAAAUUCACUACAAACACAAUGAAAGUGCCAGAAUAUAUCUUGAUCGGAGUUCCGACGAGGGAGAAAAGUUAGAGAGAAGGUGC